rnacentral:rRNA from 1 species
UACAGAGACUGCAAGCGUUAUUCGGAUUCACUGGGCGUAAAGGGUGCGCAGGCGGCCGGGUGUGUCAGAUGUGAAAUCCCGAGGCUCAACCUCGGAACUGCGUCUGAAACUACUCGGCUAGAGUAUUGGAGAGGGUAACGGAAUUCAUGGUGUAGUGGUGAAAUACGUAGAUAUCAACAGGAAUACCGGAGGCGAAGGCGAGUAACUGGGCCAACACUGACACUGGGACCCGAAAGCGUGGGGAUCAAACAGGAUUAGAAACCCGAGUAGU